rfam:Xenopus laevis strain J chromosome 1S, whole genome shotgun sequence.
ACCCUCCCAAUGCUUACCACAGGCAGUGCUAGUGCCACCCGCUGUCUGUAUAGAAAGAGGAGGAACAGCAACCUCUCCGACUACACCACAGCCGCUCUUACUGUUCUUCGGUUGUUUUGUUACCGGGGAGACACUG